AACGAACGCUGGCGGCAUGCCUAACACAUGCAAGUCGAACGAGACCUUCGGGUCUAGUGGCGCACGGGUGCGUAACGCGUGGGAACCUGCCCUUAGGUUCGGAAUAACUCCCCGAAAGGGGUGCUAAUACCGGAUAAUGUCUUCGGACCAAAGAUUUAUCGCCUUUGGAUGGGCCCGCGUUGGAUUAGCUAGUUGGUAGGGUAAAAGCCUACCAAGGCGACGAUCCAUAGCUGGUCUGAGAGGAUGAUCAGCCACACUGGGACUGAGACACGGCCCAGACUCCUACGGGAGGCAGCAGUGGGGAAUAUUGGACGAUGGGCGAAAGCCUGAUCCAGCAAUGCCGCGUGAGUGAUGAAGGCCUUAGGGUUGUAAAGCUCUUUUACCCGGGAUGAUAAUGACAGUACCGGGAGAAUAAGCUCCGGCUAACUCCGCG
rnacentral:rRNA from 1 species